rnacentral:rRNA from 1 species
UACGGAGGGGACUAGCGUUGUUCGGAAUUACUGGGCGUAAAGCGCACGUAGGCGGAUUUGUAAGUCAGGGGUGAAAUCCCGGGGCUCAACCUCGGAACUGCCUUUGAUACUGAAGAUCUUGAGUUCGGGAGAGGUGAGUGGAACUGCGAGUGUAGAGGUGAAAUUCGUAGAUAUUCGCAAGAACACCAGUGGCGAAGGCGGCUCACUGGCCCGAUACUGACGCUGAGGCGCGAAAGCGUGGGGAGCAAACAGG